rnacentral:rRNA from 1 species
UACGAAGUGUGCAAGCGUUACUCGGAAUUACUGGGCGUAAAGCGUGCGUAGAUGGUUCAUUAAGUCGGAUGUGAAAGCCCCGGGCUCAACCUGGGAACUGCAUCCGAUACUGGUGGACUAGAGUGCGGUAGAGGAUGGCGGAAUUCCCGGUGUAGCGGUGAAAUGCGUAGAGAUCGGGAGGAACAUCCGUGGCGAAGGCGGCCAUCUGGACCAGCACUGACGUUGAGGCACGAAAGCGUGGGGAGCAAACAGG